AUUGUGUGAAUACAUAGCACAUUCGAGGUAGACGCAGAGAACUGAAACAUCUAAGUACCUGCAGGAAGAGAAAGAAAAUUCGAUUCCCUGAGUAGCGGCGAGCGAAACGGGAAAAGCCCAAACCAGCAAGCUUGCUUGUUGGGGUUGUAGGACUCCAAUAUGGUAGUUCUUUCAGAUAGUCGAAUGACUUGGAAAAGUCAGUCAAAGAGGGUAAAAACCCCGUAGACGAAAUGUGGAAGACACCUAGGAGGAUCCUGAGUACGGCGGAACACGAGAAAUUCCGUCGGAAUCCGGGAGGACCAUCUCCCAAGGCUAAAUACUCCCUAGUGACCGAUAGUGAACCAGUACCGUGAGGGAAAGGUGAAAAGCACCCCGGAAGGGGAGUGAAAUAGAACCUGAAACCGUGUGCCUACAACAAGUCAAAGCCCGUUAAUGGGUGAUGGCGUGCCUUUUGUAGAAUGAACCGGCGAGUUACGAUUGCAUGCGAGGUUAAGUUGAAGAGACGGAGCCGCAGCGAAAGCGAGUCUGAAUAGGGCGUUUGAGUAUGUAGUCGUAGACCCGAAACCAUGUGAUCU
rnacentral:rRNA from 1 species